CGGCGGACGGGUGAGUAAUGCCUAGGAAUCUGCCUGGUAGUGGGGGACAACGUUUCGAAAGGAACGCUAAUACCGCAUACGUCCUACGGGAGAAAGCAGGGGACCUUCGGGCCUUGCGCUAUCAGAUGAGCCUAGGUCGGAUUAGCUAGUUGGUGAGGUAAUGGCUCACCAAGGCGACGAUCCGUAACUGGUCUGAGAGGAUUAUCAGUCACACUGGAACUGAGACACGGUCCAGACUCCUACGGGAGGCAGCAGCC
rnacentral:rRNA from 1 species